UCUCCGUAGGUGAACCUGCGGAGGGAUCAUUACAGAGUUCUCGCCCUCACGGGUAGAUCUCCCACCCACUGUUAUCGUUACUGUCGUUUCUUUGGCGGGCCGCCGGGUCCCCGGCCGCCGGCGCCUAGCUGCCGGCGCGCGCCCGCCAGAGGCCUUCAAACUCUGAAUGUUAGUGUUGUCUGAGUACUAUAUAAUAGUUAAAACUUUCAACAACGGAUCUCUUGGUUCUG
rnacentral:misc_RNA from 1 species